UUUACUUCCCCUUCCCAGCGGGCUUGACAGCCUCUGCAGGAAGGAGAUGUGCCCGUGGCUCUGUCGCUGGAAUAUCAAGGUGAGACUGGGGAUGUGGCACGUCACAGGUGAUCUGCUUAUAGCACUGCCUGCACGGAAGACUGGAGAGCACCCUACACGGAGGACUGUGUGGAGAGCACCCUCGAAUACUCGUGAGCAGCUCUAACUCAGAAGUACAAGAUACUCAACGAGAGACCAGUGAGGAGGAGAGGAUUUUCAUAGAAAAACAGCACAGUUGCAGAGUAGGGCAUCAGCUCUGAAGUCCAUUACAGGUGCAUUUCGUGUUUUCCCAUCCAUCAGCUGCACUACGCUUCUGCCAGGCUGGCUCAGCGAGCAUCUGUUGUCCCCAUUGCACACAUGGAGUGAACUUGGAACACAAUGGCCGCACGUGCCAAGGGAACAGGAUUCCCGUCCUUCUCAUUCACUGCAUCUCCUCCAAUCCCAGCAAAGCACCAGAGAAGUAGCUGAUAUGGGAAUGCAGAGGAUAUGGGCUCCGGCCAAACCACAGGACUGGGGCCAGCCUUGUUUCCCAGAUGCGUGCUACAGAGACUGUCCCUGGCGUUGGCAGAUGUGACUGGUGACGGCAGCCACAAAGCAGGAAGAAGACACUUAGUGCUUCGUAUUUAUCUGCCCGUUUGGCUGACAGAAGAGCCAUCGGGCGAUUUGUGUUCCGCCAUUCCUGCUGUGCAAGCUUGGGGAAAGCACGUGACCUCUCUGGGCCUUGCUUUUUUUUUUUUUUUCUUUUGUAAAAACAUUUCUGGCUUAGUGCAAUGGCUCACACCUAUCAUCCCAGCACUUUGGGAGGUUGAGGAGGGAGGAUCACUUGAGCUCAGUAGUUCAAGACUAGCCUGGGCAACAUGGCGAAACCCCGUCUCUACAAAAAUACAAAAAUUAGCCAGGCGUGGUGGUGUGCACCAGUAGUCCCAGCUACUUGGGAGGCUGAGGUGGGAGGGUUGCAUGAGCCCAGGAGGUCAAGGCUGCAGUGAGCCAAGAUUGCCCCACUGCAUUCCAGCCUAGGCGAUGGGUGACAGAGGAGACCCCUUCUAAAAAACUAAUAAUAAACAAAUAAUAAUGAAGACAUUUCCUGCUCACCCACAACCCAUGCCCCUGGCCUGCCUUGCUUGCUGAUUGCAGUAUUUUCUCACUGAGCUCAGGUUGACUCUAGGGUCCUCCUCAACACUGUGCUGCCACAGAUGUUUUCAGCCUGACCAACUGCACCAACGAGGAAGGUCUCCAGCAUCCCCAGACUCAAUCAUCUCAAAAGCCCCUUCAGGAGGGAGUGUUCUGGAAUGCCUCUGUGCUGGGUCUUUGGGUUGGUCGCUGUGCCUCUGUGCCUCUCACUAGGUUGUGGUGCAUGCGUGGUGGAAGUCCGAGCCUCUGACACCCAGCACUCGCUCACUCACGCACCUGUUGCAGGGUUACGCUCACUGGGCCCCGGGGCUCUCAGGGCAGAAGCCCCAAGAAGGUGGCACCUUCCCGCCCUCAUAGCAAAGCCCUGUAUAGCCUUCACCUUCUCAUCCUGCCUGCCUGCACAUCUGUUGUGGCUUUGCACUUAGUGCUCAGUAAUAUGUAUUGAUUUUGUCAAAUAAGAAGCAAAUAUGACUUUGCUCCUAUUACAAUGGCUACUAUUAAAAAAAAAGUAAAAAUAGAAAAUAACAAGUGUUGGUGAAAAUGUGGAGAAAUCGGGACCACCAUGCACCAUUGGUGGGAAUGGAAAGUGCUGCAGCCACUGCAGAAAAUGGUUCGGAGAUUCCUCAGAAUGUUUGACAAGUUCUAUAGGGUCCAACCCUAUGGGGUCUGUGGGUUUUUCUCCUCGUGUGCAGAGACGA
rnacentral:lncRNA from 10 species